AUACUUACCUGGCAGGGGAGAUACCAUGAUCACGAAGGUGGUUUUCCCAGGGCGAGGCUUAUCCAUUGCACUCCGGAUGUGCUGACCCCAAUUUAAAAAAAAAGAAGAAGACUCACUUUUGCUAAAUGGUAGAUCCUAAGAGCCAGUCUUUCUUG
ensembl:snRNA U1 U1 spliceosomal RNA